UACGGGGGGGGCAAGCGUUGUUCGGAAUUACUGGGCGUAAAGGGCUCGUAGGCGGCCAACUAAGUCGGAUGUGAAAUCCCCAGGCUCAACUUGGGAACUGCAUCCGAUACUGGAUGGCUUGAAUUCGGGAGAGGGAUGCAGAAUUCCAGGUGUAGCGGUGAGAUGCGUAGAUAUCUGGAGGAAUACCGGUGGCGAAGGCGGCAUCCUGGACCGACAUUGACGCUGAGGAGCGAAAGCUAGGGGAGCAAACAGG
rnacentral:rRNA from 1 species